rnacentral:rRNA from 1 species
ACUCAAAUGAAUAGACGGGGGCCCGCACAAGCGGCGGAGCAUGUGGCUUAAUUCGAGGCAACGCGAAGAACCUUACCUGGGUUGAACUACGCAGGAAAAGCCGCAGAGAUGCGGUGUCCGCAAGGGCCUGCGAUAGGUGGUGCAUGGCUGUCGUCAGCUCGUGUCGUGAGAUGUUGGGUUAAGUCCCGCAACGAGCGCAACCCUUGUCCUAUGUUGCCAGCGGGUAAUGCCGGGGACUCGUAGGAGACUGCCGGGGUCAACUCGGAGGAAGGUGGGGAUGACGUCAAGUCAUCAUGCCCCUUAUGUCCAGGGCUGCACACAUGCUACAAUGGCCGGUACAAAGGGCUGCUAUUCCGCGAGGAUGAGCGAAUCCCAAAAAGCCGGUCUCAGUUCGGAUCGCAGUCUGCAACUCGACUGCGUGAAGUCGGAGUCGCUAGUAAUCCCGGAUCAGCAACGCCGGGGUGAAUACGUUCCCGGGCCUUGCACACACCGCCCGU